rnacentral:rRNA from 1 species
GAUGAACGCUGGCGGCGUGCCUAAUACAUGCAAGUCGAGCGAAUGGAUUAAGAGCUUGCUCUUAUGAAGUUAGCGGCGGACGGGUGAGUAACACGUGGGUAACCUGCCCAUAAGACUGGGAUAACUCCGGGAAACCGGGGCUAAUACCGGAUAACAUUUUGAACCGCAUGGUUCGAAAUUGAAAGGCGGCUUCGGCUGUCACUUAUGGAUGGACCCGCGUCGCAUUAGCUAGUUGGUGAGGUAACGGCUCACCAAGGCAACGAUGCGUAGCCGACCUGAGAGGGUGAUCGGUCACACUGGGACUGAAACACGGCCCAGACUACUACGGGAGGCAGCAGUAGGGAAUCUUCCGCAAUGGACGAAAGUCUGACGGAGCAACGCCGCGUGAGUGAUGAAGGCUUUCGGGUCGUAAAACUCUGUUGUUAGGGAAGAACAAGUGCUAGUUGAAUAAGCUGGCACCUUGACGGUACCUAACCAGAAAGCCACGGCUAACUACGUGCCAGCAGCCGCGGUAA